CGGCGCGCUGGUCGGUGAGGGGCUGGCACGCGGGCUGACGACACGCCUGACGGCGGUCGCGAUGGCUCGAGCCAACGGUCGCUACGCCGGCGCGCCGA
rnacentral:tRNA from 1 species